rnacentral:rRNA from 1 species
AAUAUUGCACAAUGGGCGCAAGCCUGAUGCAGCCAUGCCGCGUGUAUGAAGAAGGCCUUCGGGUUGUAAAGUACUUUCAGCAGUGAGGAAGGUGGAUAUGUUAAUAGCAUAUUCAUUUGACGUUUAGCUGCAGAAGAAGCACCGGCUAACUCCGUGCCAGCAGCCGCGGUAAUACGGAGGGUGCGAGCGUUAAUCGGAAUUACUGGGCGUAAAGCGCAUGCAGGUGGUUUGUUAAGUCAGAUGUGAAAGCCCGGGGCUCAACCUCGGAAUUGCAUUUGAAACUGGCAAACUAGAGUACUGUAGAGGGGGUAGAAUUUCAGGUGUAGCGGUGAAAAUGCGUAGAGAUCUGAAGGAAUACCGGUGGCGAAGGCGGCCCCCUGGACAGAUACUGACACUCAGAUGCGAAAGCGUGGGGAGCAAACAGGAUUAGAAACCCUGGUAG